UACUUUCAUGAAUCUUUUUUAGAUAUGUCUGAAGGACAAACUGAAAGUCAGUUUCGCUGCCUAUACAACCCAAUCAAAAAACAUGAAAAUGAGGUAUUUCACUCCAGAUGAUAACUAAGAAAGAAUUGCGGAUUUUGACACACAUUCAGCAGAAUCUCCCUUGUACUAUUAUAAGCCUGGCUUUUGCUGUGCUGUGCUGGGGUAUUCAAGCAAGGUGGGAAUCUGGAAUGACAGAUUUACUGGAAGAGCCCCAGGUGAAAAGCUUUUUUGAUAUGCAGCGACAGCAAACUUCUGGGACUGAACAGAGCAUUACACCGAGGCAGAGUCAAGCUCACGAAGAGGCCAUGAACUUCCCUUUGGAACCAACCCAUAUUCAGAGGGAGCUGCACACCUGGUGCUGGAACAGCUGCGUUCUGUUGGGAAGCAAUGAAGUACAUACCGGAGAUGACAAGACUAUACCACUCCUUCUCAUCCUCUUGCUGUAAAUAGCCUCCAAUUAUUAUUAUUAUCUCAGACCUUCAUCUCAGCUCUCUAAUGAAAGGUUUUGCUUUAGCAUAUUCAGAGCGGCCUUGGAAGAAUGUUUAUAAUGAAGAGCUUCAGGAGCCGAGAAAGUAUUUAGCAAACCACUUGCUUGGGUGAGAACAGUUUUAUGAAAUUCCCAUGCUAGCAGCAGUGAGCAUAAGGAACAACCAAUGCAAACAUCACAGGCUCGUGGACUUGAUGCCUCUUCUUGGUGAGGACCAGAGCUACUGGCAAGGGGUGAAGCAGCCGCAGCUCUCUUGGUCCUUCUGCCCUGGGAAGCUCCAGCUGUCUUUGAGGAGAUGAAGACGUGGCUGGUGCUUUCAUACAGAAAGGCAUCUGAUAAUCGGAGGUGGGAAGGCAGCUCAGAAAAUGUGAUAAUCACAGCGCCAUUGCUAAUGCAGAUAACAACCUUUCUCAGUCAUUUCUCUGACAGUGUAUCUUUUUCUGCCUCAUUGGAGACUGAGGUGGGGAAUCAGGGCUGCUAUUCAUACACCCAGCCUGCUUUUUUUUUUUUUUUUUUCCAAAUAGGAUUCCAGAUGGCCAACAAUUUUGAUUCAGGUGAACAGCUCGUUUAGCAGUACUGGGCUGAUGUUUCGGAAAUUUCAAGAGCAAACAGCAACUCAGAAGCAAAAAUAACAUAGGAAGGGAAGCAAUAAAAUAUUGAAAUAGUGAUGGAUGUGCA
rnacentral:lncRNA from 1 species